UGACUUUUCAAUUGAUAUACAAACCAGCA
rnacentral:piRNA from 1 species